rnacentral:rRNA from 1 species
GCAGUAGCCGCGGUAAUACGUAGGUCCCGAGCGUUGUCCGGAUUUAUUGGGCGUAAAGGGAGCGCAGGCGGUUUAGUAAGUCUGAAGUUAAAGGCAUUGGCUCAACCAAUGUAUGCUUUGGAAACUGUUAGACUUGAGUGCAGAAGGGGAGAGUGGAAUUCCAUGUGUAGCGGUGAAAUGCGUAGAUAUAUGGAGGAACACCGGUGGCGAAAGCGGCUCUCUGGUCUGUCACUGACGCUGAGGCUCGAAAGCGUGGGUAGCGAACAGGAUUAGAUACCCGCGUAGUCCCUGUCUCUUAUACA